AUUGAACGCUGGCGGCAGGCCUAACACAUGCAAGUCGAGCGGAUGAAGGGAGCUUGCUCCUGGAUUCAGCGGCGGACGGGUGAGUAAUGCCUAGGAAUCUGCCUGGUAGUGGGGGAUAACGCCCGGAAACGGGCGCUAAUACCGCAUACGUCCUGAGGGAGAAAGUGGGGGUUCUUCGGACCUCACGCUAUCAGAUGAGCCUAGGUCGGAUUAGCUAGUUGGUGGGGUAAAGACCUACCAAGGCGACGAUCCGUAACUGGUCUGCGAGAUUGAUCAGUCACACUGGAACUGGGACGCGGUCCGGACUCCUACGGGAGGCAGCAGAGAGGAAUAUUGGACAGUAGGCGAAAGCCUGAUCCAGCCAAGCCGCGUGUGUGAAGAAGAUCUUGGGAUUGUAAAGCACUUUAAUUUGGGAGGAAGGGCAGUAAGUUUGUACAUUGCUGUUUUGACGUUACCAACAAAAUGAGCACCGGCUAACUUCGUG
rnacentral:rRNA from 1 species